GACGAACGCUGGCGGCGUGCUUAACACAUGCAAGUCGAGCGGUAAGGCCCUUUCGGGGGUACACGAGCGGCGAACGGGUUGAGUAACACGUGGGUGACCUGCCCUCAGCUCUGGGAUAAGCCUGGGAAACUGGGUCUAAUACUGGAUAUGACUCCAUGACGCAUGUUGUGGGGUGGAAAGCCUUGUGCGGCUGAGGAUGGGCCCGCGGCCUAUCAGCUUGUUGGUGGGGUGAUGGCCUACCAAGGCGACGACGGGUAGCCGGCCUGAGAGGGCGACCGGCCACACUGGGACUGAGACACGGCCCAGACUCCUACGGGAGGCAGCAGUGGGGAAUCUUGCGCAAUGGGCGAAAGCCUGACGCAGCGACGCCGCGUGAGGGAUGACGGCCU
rnacentral:rRNA from 1 species